GGAAGGAUGUGCGGGAGUGAUGCGCGAUUUCUUGUGUCUCCUACCUUCCUUGUUUACGUUUUGCACAGUGUUGCUUCUUAUUCCAUUGUGGAAUGAUUUAUCCUAGCUAACUGGUUGAGUUACAGGUGCAUGCGCCAUUCAUCAACGUCUACCUGUUGGCAUCAUCAACAACCUUCAAAGAGGGCGAUGGAAAGAAAUUGUUUUCCAGUUUUAAAAUAUUAAGCGUUCAGCACAACUCAGCCACAAAACAACGCACUGGAUUACGCUAAGAACCUGUCGAAACGCGCGCAGCCCCCGGGAGCGGUAGGAGAAAGGAAGAACGAGAGGAGGAAAAACUAAAGCCAGCGCGCAGCUCUGAUGGUACCCCGGACGCGGUAAGAAGAAAAAAGAUCGAGAGGAGGAAGAACGGUAAAUUUGGAAGGGGGAGACCGUUCUGCCGUCUACACAGUGUGAGUAUGCCAAAGCACGUGUUGGAACAGAGAGAAAAA